GAUGAACGCUGGCGGCGUGCCUAACACAUGCAAGUCGAACGAGGUAAAUAAGUUGAAGUUUUCGGAUGGAUUCUUAUUUGCCGAGUGGCGGACGGGUGAGUAACGCGUGGGUAACCUGCCUCAUACAGGGGGAUAACGGUUAGAAAUGACUGCUAAUACCGCAUAAGCGCACAGUACCGCAUGGUACAGUGUGAAAAACUCCGGUGGUAUGAGAUGGACCCGCGUCUGAUUAGCUAGUUGGUGGGGUAACGGCCCACCAAGGCGACGAUCAGUAGCCGACCUGAGAGGGUGACCGGCCACGAUUGGGACUGAGACACGGCCCAGACUCCUACGGGAGCAGCAGUGGGGGAUAUUGCACAAUGGAGGAAACUCUGAUGCAGCGACGCCGCGUGAGUGAAGAAGUAUUUCGGUAUGUAAAGCUCUAUCGGCAGGGAGAAAAUGACGGUACCUGACUAAG
rnacentral:rRNA from 1 species